CAACCUUGAAAUAAAGAAUACAGUUUUAUUUCUCAAACGUCAUCACGAUUUCCUAGUUAAACUAGCUAAAUAUACAACCGGACAUCUUGAUCGGACAAGCAGCUUCCCAUCAAAUGCCAACAAGAGCAAGAAAAAAGUGUUAGCAUUUUUUCAGAAGAAUGUAUGUAUAGCUACAAUGAAUGGAUACAAUGUAAAUCUGUUAAACUCAUGAAGUUCUUUGAUAACUGUUGUUUUGAAUGACUUUUAUGUUUUAAAUUUGGUUCAAUUAACUUUAUACCUGCAACUCAACUUCUUCUUUAAUUUCCUUGAUUUUAUUCUUAAACUCAUGACUGAU